GGGAAUGUGGCUCAGUGGUGGAGUGCUUGUCUUGUGCACAUGAGGCCCUGGGUUUGAUUCCUUAGCACCA
rnacentral:tRNA from 1 species